rnacentral:rRNA from 1 species
GAUCAUGGCUCAGGAUGAACGCUGGCGGCGUGCUUAACACAUGCAAGUCGAACGGAACUACUUUAAUGAGAUUCUUCGGAAAGGAUUUGAUUUAGUUUAGUGGCGGACGGGUGAGUAACGCGUGGGUAACCUGCCUCAUACAGGGGGAUAACAGUUGGAAACGGCUGUUAAUACCGCAUAAGCGCACAGUACCGCAUGGUACCGUGUGAAAAACUCCGGUGGUAUGAGAUGGACCCGCGUCUGAUUAGCUGG